UACGAAGGGGGCUAGCGUUGCUCGGAAUUACUGGGCGUAAAGCGCACGUAGGCGGCUCUUUAAGUCGGAGGUGAAAUCCUGGAGCUCAACUCCAGAACUGCCUUCGAUACUGUAGAGCUUGAGUUCGGGAGAGGUGAGUGGAACUGCGAGUGUAGAGGUGAAAUUCGUAGAUAUUAGGAAGAACACCAGUGGCGAAGGCGGUCUGCUGGGCAGUUUCUGACACUGAGGCGCGACAGCGUGGGGAGCAAACAGG
rnacentral:rRNA from 1 species